AAAGGAUUUAUGCAUCCACCUGUCACCCGCCUCCCAUCUCGGGGCAUAGGUUGAACUGCCCUCAACAUGGACUGCUAGCACCACUCAUGCAGCUAUUAAGCUAGCAGAUAUCUAGACCCACACCAUACUGAUGACACUAUACACCUUGUAAUGUUUUAGUUUACCAUUGCAUAGCUAUACUGGGCAAAUGACAGGUACAAGGAUGUAAUACGGCAUACUCGUAUAGGUAUUAGCUUGUGUUGCUUUACUUGCUCACAUGCCUUGCUACCACACUUGCUCGUUAACUGACCCAAUACUUCUAUUUCAGAGUAUGUAAAGUAGAACUGUGUUAAACAUAUGUUUUUCCCUUUUUUGACUUGUCUUUAAUUAUCU